UCCGGUUUGUCACCGGCAGUCUCAUUAAAGUGCCCAACCUAAUGAUGGCAAUUAAUGACAAGGGUUGCGCUCGUUGCGGGACUUAACCCAACAUCUCACGACACGAGCUGACGACAGCCAUGCAGCACCUGUGUAUCCGCUCCCUUUCGGGCACUUCCCUAUCUCUAGAGAAUUCGAACCAUGUCAAGGGUAGGUAAGGUUUUUCGCGUUGCAUCGAAUUAAUCCACAUCAUCCACCGCUUGUGCGGGUCCCCGUCAAUUCCUUUGAGUUUUAAUCUUGCGACCGUACUCCCCAGGCGGUCAACUUCACGCGUUAGCUGCGUUACCAAAGCCAAGAUAGCUCCGACAACUAGUUGACAUCGUUUAGGGCGUGGACUAC
rnacentral:misc_RNA from 1 species